UACGUAGGGGGCAAGCGUUGUCCGGAUUUAUUGGGCGUAAAGAGCGUGUAGGCGGUCAGGUAGGUCGGUUGUGAAAACUGGAGGCUCAACCUUCAGAGGUCGACCGAAACCAUCUGGCUAGAGUCCGGAAGAGGAGAGUGGAAUUCCUGGUGUAGCGGUGAAAUGCGCAGAUAUCAGGAAGAACACCCGUGGCUAAGGCGGCUCUCUAGUACGUGACUGACGCUGAGACGCGAAAGCGUGGGGAGCGAACAGG
rnacentral:rRNA from 1 species